rnacentral:rRNA from 1 species
GACGAACGCUGGCGGCAUGCCUAACACAUGCAAGUCGAGCGAGUAGAUCCCUUCGGGGUGAAGCUAGCGGCGGACGGGUGAGUAACACGUGGGCAACCUGCCUCAUAGAGGGGAAUAGCCUUCCGAAAGGAAGAUUAAUACCGCAUAAGAUUGUAGCUUCGCAUGAAGCAGCAAUUAAAGGAGCAAUCCGCUAUGAGAUGGGCCCGCGGCGCAUUAGCUAGUUGGUGAGGUAACGGCUCACCAAGGCGACGAUGCGUAGCCGACCUGAGAGGGUGAUCGGCCACAUUGGGACUGAGACACGGCCCAGACUCCUACGGGAGGCAGCAGUGGGGAAUAUUGCACAAUGGGGGAAACCCUGAUGCAGUAAUGCCGCGUGAGUGAUGACGGCCUUCGGGUUGUAAAGCUCUGUCUUCGGGGACGAUAAUGACGGUACCCGAGGAGGAAGCCACGGCUAACUACGUGCCAGCAGCCGCGGUAA